GAGUUUGAUCCUGGCUCAGGAUGAACGCUGGCGGCGUGCCUAAUACAUGCAAGUCGAGCGAACAGAUAAGGAGCUUGCUCCUUUGAAGUUAGCGGCGGACGGGUGAGUAACACGUGGGUAACCUACCUAUAAGACUGGGAUAACUUCGGGAAACCGGAGCUAAUACCGGAUAACAUUUAGAACCGCAUGGUUCUAAAGUGAAAGAUGGUUUUGCUAUCACUUAUAGAUGGACCCGCGCCGUAUUAGCUAGUUGGUAAGGUAACGGCUUACCAAGGCAACGAUACGUAGCCGACCUGAGAGGGUGAUCGGCCACACUGGAACUGAGACACGGUCCAGACUCCUACGGGAGGCAGCAGUAGGGAAUCUUCCGCAAUGGGCGAAAGCCUGACGGAGCAACGCCGCGUGAGUGAUGAAGGUCUUCGGAUCGUAAAACUCUGUUAUUAGGGAAGAACAAAUGUGUAAGUAACUGUGCACGUCUUGACGGUACCAAAUCAGAAAGCCACGGCUAACUACGUGCC
rnacentral:rRNA from 1 species